rnacentral:rRNA from 1 species
CGUUAGCGGCGGACGGGUGAGUAACACGUGGGUAACCUACCUAUAAGACUGGGAUAACUUCGGGAAACCGGAGCUAAUACCGGAUAAUAUUUCGAACCGCAUGGUCCGAUAGUGAAAGAUGGUUUUGCUAUCACUUAUAGAUGGACCCGCGCCGUAUUAGCUAGUUGGUAAGGUAACGGCUUACCAAGGCGACGAUACGUAGCCGACCUGAGAGGGUGAUCGGCCACACUGGAACUGAGACACGGUCCAGACUCCUACGGAGCAGCAGCG